CCCGCUUCACUCCCCCCAUUUUCUUUUUCCUUUCAUUCCCAAACUUCCACUCAUCCAACAACCUAUGCAAAACCCUUCCAAAACGUGACUCCUUUCUUCCUUCCACGCGAAACCCACAACCCGGCCAAGCAUCCGACCAUGGAUUUGGUCAUGGAUUCAACUGUUCAGACUAUUGUUGUAGUAGCAGUUGUUCCGCAUGGGGUUUUACAGCUUGGAUCUUUAUAAAGUAACUGAGGAUGUCAAUCUUGUGGCUCGCAUCAGAAAUGUUUUUCUAACUCUCCAGGAGUCGUCAGCAGGGCAUAUUAAGCCAAUGCAGUCAUGUAAAAGCUCAGGAUACGUGGCAGACAUUCCAUCUAGAAGCUUAGCAACACAGGUGAGUGAGUCCUGGUUGUUUUAACAACUUAGACACUUUUGAAAAUUAGGUAGUAUGGAUAUUUAUUACCUUAAUUUUCCUUCCUGUGAUAAAACAGUCUCUGUUAACUUGUGUUUGAAUAGUAGUUUCCUAUUAAAUGAAAAGAAGAUGUUGAGAUCAUAAUUGAUUUGUUUGCUAGUGAUUCUAUCUUGUGUUUGAAUGUUGAGGAAAAAUGAAAUUAUUUUGUACAAAGAAGGAAGAGAAAGGUUGAGAGCUCUCAAUGCUUAGCAAUAAUGGCGAUUUUUUUAAGAUCAAAAGACUUAAAUGCAGAUUUACGUAUGCAAGGUAAGGGAUGAGAAGUAGACAAUAAGAUUUUAACAUGGUUUGGCAAGAGGUGCCUACGUCCACGAGAAGAGCUGAGAUUUCUUGAGAAGUAGAAAGGGAAAAAUAUUACAGAUAAAUUCGUCUAACUCAUUGAUUUCUCUCUUUUUUUAUCUCUCUCUUUUAGAUCUUUUAUAUAUAGGAUGUUUACAAUUUUGUUGAGAGAUAAAAGUAAGUUAAAAUGUCAGUUUCACUUUAAAUAGUUACUGUUUUAACGCUUUUCAAUAUACUUGAGGAAGAACUGGAUGUCAUAAUCAAGCAUGGAACACAAUCAUGAGAGAGUCGGUGUGCUGCAACACAUGGGAUGCAGGUGUCUCAGUUCAAGAAGGAUAUACAAGAGAAAUGAGCAAUAUUGUGGUGAUUGAACCAUAUAGAAGAUAGGUUCAAGUUUGAUGUGUAAGGCUAAAUUUUGAUUCUUAAGGAUUUGGAAGGAAGAGAGGAAG